rnacentral:rRNA from 1 species
CGGGACGGGUGAGUAAUGUCUGGAAACUGCCCGAUGGAGGGGGAUAACUACUGGAAACGGUAGCUAAUACCGCAUAACGUCGCAAGACCAAAGAGGGGGACCUUCGGGCCUCUUGCCAUCGGAUGUGCCCAGAUGGGAUUAGCUAGUAGGUGGGGUAACGGCUCACCUAGGCGACGAUCCCUAGCUGGUCUGAGAGGAUGAUCAGCCACACUGGGACUGAGACACGGCCCAG